GGAGCCUGCCUCCAGUGUUCCUGGGUUGCUGCUGGUUUCCUGGGAGGCCUGUGGCUCUAGCUGUAACAGACAUCUUAUAAGGUCUUCAGGCUGUGGGUCUUCAAAGGAACAGAAAAGCUGCUGAUUUGUUGAACUGCUUGCAGCAGAUCUUCAGACCGUGUGGACUACAGGGGAACAGACAGACUGCUGGGAGGACUUCACACUGUAAGAGGCACCAAUAUUGGACAAAGAACAGCCAUUAAUCAGGAUUGUGAUGGAAUCAACAAUAUUACAGGAGUUCUGUGCAAGUUUUUAAAGAUGAGAACAUGUCCAUUGACUAGUUUAGUGGAGAUUCAAUGUGAUGACACGAGAUGGAAUGGAUAACAGAGGGCGCGAAGUUGAGCAGAUACCUCACAGGCAUCUGGAGAUAUUCAUACUUCCUAGCUUCUUUUCUGUUGAAUGCUUCUGGGACUACUUUAUGAAACACAACUUCAAAGCAUCUGACAGAGAACAAUGUCCUUGUCUUUGAGGAGUAGCACUUCAUUUUCUUGGUCAGCAACUAAAUCUAAUAUUGUGCUUAAAUAUGAAACGCAUGUAGAGAAUAUCCUGUGAUAAUAAAGGCAAGACCAUCAUAAAUUAAAAGAAACUCAUCCGAGUUCACAGCUUAGGACGUAUUAAUUAGUUAAUUUAGGCAAACUGGAAUGUUAACAGUAGAGCCAUUGUGUUCAUCACAAAUAAAGUCAAUUGAGUAAAAUGAA